rnacentral:rRNA from 1 species
UACAGAGGGGGCUAGCGUUGUUCGGAAUUACUGGGCGUAAAGGGCGCGUAGGUGGCCUGCUAAGUCGAACGUGAAAUCCCCGGGCUCAACCCGGGAACUGCGUCCGAGACUGGCAGGCUUGAAUCCGGGAGAGGGAUGUGGAAUUCCAGGUGUAGCGGUGAAAUGCGUAGAUAUCUGGAGGAACACCGGUGGCGAAGGCGGCAUCCUGGACCGGUAUUGACGCUGAGGCGCGAAAGCCGGGG